rnacentral:rRNA from 15 species
CGGCCCAGACUCCUACGGGAGGCAGCAGUGGGGAAUAUUGGACAAUGGGCGAAAGCCUGAUCCAGCAAUGCCGCGUGAGUGAAGAAGGCCUUCGGGUUGUAAAGCUCUUUUGUCAGGGAAGAAACGGGUCUUUCUAAUACAGAGAUCUAAUGACGGUACCUGAAGAAUAAGCACCGGCUAACUACGUGCCAGCAGCCGCGGUAAUACGUAGGGUGCAAGCGUUAAUCGGAAUUACUGGGCGUAAAGCGUGCGCAGGCGGUUUUGUAAGUCUGUC